rnacentral:lncRNA from 1 species
CUCUCCUAGAGCCGGCGCCGCGCCUCCGCCCCCCGCCCCCCCAGCCGCUCGGGCAGGAUGGUACAGUCUGCAGAGGGACCCGGGCACGCCGGCUGGGCUCAGCCGCGGCACCAGCUGCCGCACCGCGAUUACGGGGCUGCCCGCCUGGAAGCCGUGCAGGAUUGGUGGUGAUUUUCGUAGCCAAGUAAGUACCGGCAUCCCCCCUCCCCGGCAUGAGCAAAUAAAAAAUAAAAAGCGCCCCACUCCGCUCUCCCC